rnacentral:rRNA from 1 species
GUCUACGGCCAUGCUACCCUGAACACGCCCGAUCCCAUCUGAUCUCGGAAGCUAAGCAAGGUCAGUCCUGGUUAGUACUUGGAUAGGAGACCACCUAGGAAGACCAGGUGCUGUAGGCA